rnacentral:rRNA from 1 species
UACGUAGGGUGCAAGCGUUAAUCGGAAUUACUGGGCGUAAAGGGCUCGUAGGCGGCCAACUAAGUCGGACGUGAAAUCCCCAGGCUCAACCUGGGAACUGCGUCCGAUACUGGAUGGCUUGAAUUCGGGAGAGGGAUGCGGAAUUCCAGGUAUAGCGGUGAAAUGCGUAGAUAUUGGGAGGAACACCGGUGGCGAAGGCGGCCCUCUGGACCGGUACUGACGCUGAUGCGCGAAAGCGUGGGGAGCAAACGGG